rnacentral:rRNA from 1 species
GACAGAGGUGCCGAGCGUUAGGCGGAAUUACUGGGCGUAAAGCGUGCGCAGGCGGUUCGUUAUGUCCGAUGUGAAAGCCCCGAGCUCAACUUGGGAAUGGCAUUGGAAACUGGCGGGCUGGAGUGUGGCAGAGGGGGGUGGAAUUCCACGUGUAGCAGUGAAAUGCGUAGAGAUGUGGAGGAACACCGAUGGCGAAGGCAGCCCCUGGGCCAACACUGACGCUCAGGCACGAAAGCGUGGGGAGCAAACAGG